CAAGGAUUUCCUUCCCCAGACAACCAGUUUUCCUAUCAGCAACCUUUCCCCGUGUGCUCACUGGGUAAUGUUUUAUUUUAUAGUCUGCUUUCUAAGUCAGCGCAGUGGACAGCACGUUUUAGAAAUAGGAAGAGCAGAACGUGUUGGCCAUGCUACAGUCAGAAAGUGGAUUCCAUACGGGAUCUUGUUUGAAUCUCACUGUGACUCUGUGCCAUGCGAAGUAUUCUUUUUCUGCUUUACGCCUGAGCAAGUGAGGUGUAAGGUGUGAGGUUCGGGGUCAGGGGGCUGCCCAGUGUCACACAACUAAGUCUCCUGACUUCCAAAUCCAAGCUUUCCCUGUGCAUGGGCUGGGCGUGACCUCAGGGAGUUCCUGCAAUGUGAAGCAGUGAAGAGGGAGAGAGCCAAUGCCUUCCCCACCGCUACGUGCUGCUCUUCCUUCCUUCUUUCAACAAUUAUUUAUUGAGCUUCUACUGUGUGAAGGGUGCUGUGCUAGAGUAUGCUGUAAAAAAGCUCCAGAACUUUCAGAGGUCAGACACCAUUGCCCAGGCCAGGAACAAAGGAGUAGAAGAGGUAUCAGCUGCAAAGAUCUUCACUGGAGAGGUACUGCUGGAGGUGAGGAGGGAUGGAGGCCAAGGGGGCAGCCUUGUGUUCUACACUACUCUGCUCCAUCUAACUUUCCAGAGAAAAACAAAUUUUCAACUGCCAGAAAACUUGAUAAGGAAAUGUUACAAGAAAAGAAAUUAGUUGCCUAAAUUGUGUCACUUUUUUAGUAUUUCUUACACUAUAUAAAUCUCAAAAAUUCCCAAGUAGACAAGAAAUAAAAGUGAAGAAAAAUUAUGAACA
rnacentral:lncRNA from 12 species